rnacentral:rRNA from 1 species
CAAGUCGAGCGGAAGACAGGAGUGCUUGCACUCCUUGAAGUCAGCGGCGGACGGGUGAGUAACACGUGGGUAACCUACCUAUAAGACUGGGAUAACUUCGGGAAACCGGAGCUAAUACCGGAUAAUAUGUUUCACCUCAUGGUGAAACAGUGAAAGACGGUUUCGGCUGUCACUUAUAGAUGGACCCGCGGCGCAUUAGCUAGUUGGUGAGGUAACGGCUCACCAAGGCGACGAUGCGUAGCCGACCUGAGAGGGUGAUCGGCCACACUGGGACUGAGACACGGCCCAGACUCCUACGGGAGGCAGCAGUAA